UUGAUAUCGCCCAGGCCUACGUCCAACAGCACAACCCAGUCAGUGCGAUGCAUGCAUACAAGGGCUGCAUUUAAGAUGGAGAUGGCAACCUUCACACUAGCAGUAAUGAUGAAGAUGGCUGUGGCACCGACCAUGCAGCCAGCAGUUAUGUUAAAAGGCGUAGAGGAAUAGAUGGACUAGUAUGGAGACUAAAAUGUAAGUGGCACACAGAAUGUGAGAUUAAGAGAUUAGGAUGAUGGGAACUGAUAACUGAUACAAGCUGCUUAAUUGUUUGAUUAUGACAUUUUGGACAUCAUUUAUCACAAAUAAUCUCACAAAAUAGUUUGUUCAAAUGCUUGUCAAAUCACUGUUUCUGUUUUUUUUAUGUUUUUAGUGCAGAAAAGGCCCCAGUUCAAGAGAUACUGAUGUAACUGUCAAGCAAAAUAAUCACAAAACAGCAGUGCAGAUUUAACAUAAACCGGUCUGCUGUCUGGGAGGGAGCCUUGUGGGGCUUCCGAAGGGUCUCCUGUGAUCCCAAUUUGAUGAUGUGUGUCAAGUUCUCAGAUGACAUGGGGAAAAAUGAGGAAGGGGUUGGUUUAGGAGGACCAAGGAGGGAAUUCUUGAGGCUGCUGAUGGAGACCAUUUCCAGGUCAACUAUGUUUGAGGGAAAUGAACACAGCAGGAACUUAGCUCUUGACAGUACUGGUAAUGACUAUGACUUGGCUCUUGACAGUACUGGUAAUGACUAUGACUUCCUUUUAUUGGUAUAUUUACAUGCUUUUUAGAUAUUGAUCUGAUUAACACUUUAUUUAUAAUAACAAAUGCAUGAUAUUUAUGUUGUUUUUAUUACAUUACUUUUAAUUCCAUUUUAUUUUAGCUCUAAGGGAGGACUGGUACUACACUGCUGGCAGAGACAUUGCUGUAAGCUUGGUACAUGAUGGUCCACCACCAAACCUCCUCUCACCAACAUUAUUUACUCUUCUGGUUGAUGCUUCACCAGACCCAGUUAUAGAAGACAUAGUUGACACAGAACUCUUGGAAAAAUUCAGAAAGCGAUGUGGAAAACCCUGCGCUGCUAUGAACUGCAGACUAGAUCAUUAACACACAGUCGAAUGUGUGCCCUGAUUGCCAUGCAUUUGCAUGUGUGAUUGCCUGUCCCUUCACUCCCAGUACUUCAUUUACGUUGCAAUACAUCAAGGGGGACUCUUGACCGGCACUCGACGCGCGGUGGCGCAUUGCAAGGUGCUAAAAUGUCAGAUUUAGAAUUACACAGUGGCGCCUUCAAAGGCGCCAUUUGGUCAGGUAUUGAAUUACACAGCGGCUUUUUGGAGUACCCCGUUUUCCUUUGUGCCAGCCCCGUGACUGAAAAUAAUAAUAAAAAAGCAUAAUCUAAUAAUAAAACAGUCUGUCACCAUGGAACCCCAGUCAAAUGUGAUUUCAGUGACUUUUGCCAAUCACUCCCGAGUGCUUCUCCAGACAUAGCAAAGGGGAUUAUUUUCAAAAUAUAGCGGGGAUCAAAAGAGAAAGGCGUGGCCAGCCACUGCGGUACAUCAGCACACCUUAGAGAAUCUUCACUUGGUGGUUUGGAGAGAUGGUGAGGUACUCUGGCAGUACAGUGGCUGACAUGGUGGCUGUAGACCCAAGAAAUGUCUCCGAACACCUGGAGGAAGAGACAAUGGAGAGUAAUGGAGGCACACCAGAAAGUACAGAGUCAGAUACUGCAGAAGAAAGUGAGGAAGAGAGUACUGAAAGCGAAGAGGACAGUUCGGAGAAUGAAGAUGUGCAGAAUCCAUCUUACAUGUCCAAAAAUGGCUAAAUUUGCUGGAGCGCAACUCCAUGCACUUCUGCAGGCAGGAUGCCUGCAAAAUUUAUAAUGAAGAGAAAUCUGGGACCAACACGACUGUGCAUGGCUGGGGCUGAAGACAUCGUGUCUACCUUCAAUGUAGUUUUCCCUACAACAAAUAAAACUAUUAUAAUAAAAAUGACAAAUUUGGAAGGGAGUAAGAAAUUCGGGACUGAUUGGAGAGAUACAAACGAAAUUGAAUUAGAUGCAUUUUUUGGGCUACUCUUCCCUUCUGGAGUGUAUAAGUCGAAAGGGGAAGCAGCUGCCAGCCUGUGGGACACUGAAAAUGGGCGACCAAUUUUCAGAGCCACCAUGUCCCUGCUUUAUUAUAUCUGUCCUGCGGUUGGACAACAAGGCGACACGGGCCGAAAGAGAAGAUUCUGAUAAGCUGGCAGCAAUCAGAGACAUCUGGGACCUGUGGGCGGACAGGCUGCCAGCUCUCUACAGCCCAGGAGAGAAUGUUACAGUGGAUGAAAGGCUGAUUCGGUUCAGGGGUACAGUCGCUGUAGUUUCCGGCAGUAUUUGCCGAAUAAGCCGAGGAAAUACAGCAUCAAGCUGUGGGUGACCGCCGAUGCAUCGUCCAACUACGCCUGGAAGGUGCAGGUCUACACCGGCAAGCCCACCGAGAGAGCCGAGGUUCAGCAAGCCACCCGAGUCGUACUAGAGAUGACAGAAGGUUUGCAUGGUCACUGUGUCACUGUAGACAAUUUCUUCACCUCCUACGAUCUGGGAUAGCACUUGCUAAAAAAAAAAAAAAUUAACCAUGCUGGGCACGAUUAGGAAAAAUAAGCCAGAGCUGCCCUCUGUAAUUCUGGACUGUAAAUCAAGGCAAGUUCAUUCAUCGAAAUUUGUAUUCACUGACACAACCACAGUCGUGUCUUACAUGGCCAAAAAAAAUAAAAAUGUCAUCCUCCUGAGCACCUCCCACAGAAGUGCCCGGGUGAGUGACCAAAGUGACAAAAAACCAGACAUAAUAUUACAUUAUAAUAAAUCGAAGGCAGGGGUGGCCAACUACAGCUGCAAGCGAAAAACUCCUCGCUGGCCCCUGGCUAUCUUUUAUGACAUGCUGGACUUAUCGGCGUACAACAUCUUUGUUCUGUGGAGGGAGUUAAAUCCCUCCUGGGGGAAACCCCCAGAAACUGGCGGAGGUACUUUUUAGAGGAGCUGAGGCCUGCAAUGGAGCAGAAGCCACGGAUUUCCCAGCUCCCCAUCUCUGCAGCACUGACAAGGAGUGAGAGAGCAAUUGCCCCCUCCGCUCCAUCUCCAGAGGCCAGCACAAGCACACAGACCAAAAAAGCGGAGACUGUGCAAAAUUUGCAAAAGUAGCAAAGAUCGCAAAGCCACACUAACAUGCUUCAAUUGCGGGAAUAACGUUUGUAAAGAGCAUCAUGUUGUGUUCUGUUUGACAUGCAAACCCUGAAUAUUUGACGUGUGUUUCUUUGAAAAAUUGUAUGUCGUUUAGGUGGUGAGCGCAUUUAGAAUGCGAUGUUUUCCGGUUUUUAUUUUUUGAUUUAUUUAUAAUUGUUAUAAAUAAAUAUUGUUAUAAUUGUUCCUUCAAAUUGUUCUGGUUGUUAAAUGUUUCUUUGUGUAGUAUAUUUCAAUAUAUUUAAUUGCCUUCAGUUCUAUUUGUUCACUGUUUUCUGUUAUAUGUAAAUAAAUGUUAAUUUCCUGUU